AUUGAACGCUGGCGGCAGGCCUAACACAUGCAAGUCGAGCGGAUGAAGGGAGCUUGCUUCUGGAUUCAGCGGCGGACGGGUGAGUAAUGCCUAGGAAUCUGCCUGGUAGUGGGGGAUAACGUCCGGAAAUGGGCGCUAAUACCGCAUACGUCCUGAGGGAGAAAGUGGGGGAUCUUCGGACCUCACGCCAUCAGAUGAGCCUAGGUCGGAUUAGCUAGUUGGUGGGGUAAAGGCCUACCAAGCCGACGAUCCGUAACUGGUCUGAGAGGAUGAUCAGUCACACUGGAACUGAGACACGGUCCAGACUCCUACGGGAGGCAGCAGUGGGGAAUAUUGGACAAUGGGCGCAAGCCUGAUCCAGCCAUUCCGCGUGUGUGAAGAAGGUCUUCGGAUUGUAAAGCACUUUAAUUUGGAAGGAAAGGCAGUAAGUUAAUACCUUGCUGUUUUGACGUUACCAACAGAAUAAGCACCGGCUAACUUCGUG
rnacentral:rRNA from 1 species